GCUCUGAGAACUACAGACCUCAGAGAGCCAGCGAGGGUGCAGGACUCGGAGGGAGGUCUGGACUCCAGUGCAGGUGGAGUCGUCCCCCCCCCCCCCACACUGACACGCUGGUCACGGAUGGUAACGUGGAUGGCGACAGCUCCCAAUCUGAGG